rnacentral:rRNA from 1 species
AUACGGAGGAUGCAAGCGUUAUCCGGAUUCAUUGGGUUUAGAGGGUGCGUAGGCGGACUAUUAAGUCAGUGGUGAAAGCCUGCAGCUUAACUGCAGAACUGCCAUUGAUACUGAUAGUCUUGAGUUUGGUUAAGGUAGGCGGAAUGUGUAAUGUAGCGGUGAAAUGCUUAGAUAUUACACAGAACACCAAUUGCGUAGGCAGCUUACUGAGCCGACACUGACGCUGAGGCACGAAAGCGUGGGGAUCGAACAGGAUUAGAUACCCUGGUAGUCCACGCCGUAAACGAUGAUUACUCGCUGUUGGCGAUACACUGUCAGCGGCUAAGCAAAAGCAAUAAGUAAUCCACCUGGGGAGUACGGCCGCAAGGUUGAA